rnacentral:tRNA from 1 species
GGUCCCUUCGUCUAGUGGUUAGGACAUCAGCUUCUCAAGCUGGUAACACGGGUUCAAGUCCCGUAGAGACUACCA